UUGACCUCGGAUCAGGUAGGGAUACCCGCUGAACUUAAGCAUAUCAAUAAAGCGGAG
rnacentral:rRNA from 1 species